rnacentral:rRNA from 14 species
CCUGGUGAUUAUGGAGAGAAGGCCAUACCCGUUCCCAUUCCGAACACGGAAGUCAAGCUUCUCAUCGCCGAUGGUACUAUUGGGUUCGCUCAAUGGGAGAGUAGGACAUUGCCGGGU